UUCCUACAAAGUUUGAUUGAUGACUCAUGGAGGAGAAUAAAACAGGCUCUGCUCAUUUAAUUUCGGCCCUGAUGUAUCAUGUUGACUGAUGGUACUAUUUUAUCUUUUAACAAACAGUAAGUCUUCUAACAACAUGUAGGACAUUUAGGAGAUUAUUUUAAUGACACUAUAUCAGCCGAUAAGGCUGUAUGUAUCCCAUGUGAGUCCUGUGUGAUAAAAACAAGACAGAUACGGUGAAUAAUUAGUGACAGAAGAGUUUUACAAAAACCGACAACAAAAGAGCCAAUGUGGGCAGGUAAAAGUAUGGUUAGAGAUAAAAUGAGAUGAGACAGAAAAGCCGAAGAAAAAAAGGAACACAUGAUUCAGCAUAAAUAGCAAAAGAGGUAUAUUUCCCCAUUCUUAUGACUCUUUCUUUGGAAAAUGAGACCAAACCCUUUAAGAGAUUUCCUUAGUCAUUAUUAGUCCUCAUGACCAGAGGUCAACAUUCAGCAAAAUCAGGCUUUUAACCCUUGAAGACCUCAUAAAGUCUGCCAACGGUAGCAGAGACCUGCUUCCUAAUAAACACAGCUGGGGAGAUUCUGUUAAUGCAACCACUCUCCAAUACUUUUGAUUACUUUGUUUCCAAAAGGGAGAAACAGGAGAACUCUGAAAGCAUCUGCUACACUUCCAACAAGAAGUUCUCACUAUCCAGCUCCUCCUCCUGCGCAAGGGGAUCUCCAGGUGUUACCAGACCAGCUGGGAGAUGUUAUGCUACAGUAGAUCUCCCCAGGGUCCCCCCCCCCAAAGGGAGGCAGCCAAAAGGGAUGUUAAAGUCACCUCUAGUGGCAUCUCUCAAGAAUUGUGUAAGUUCCCUUUUAAAAUGCUUUUGGUCUAGAAAGCUUAUGAGCAUUGGUGAGGUUUGAAGAAACCACUGGUGAAUUUUUGAAAAAAAACAAUAAUAAGAGGACCUUCAGUUAAGUUAUUUUAAUGAAAACCAUCAGGCCUAUCUCCAAAUUUAGAGAUUUUGAAUGUAUCAGAUGAACUGAAGGAUUGUGUGUAUUUAUUGGUCGAAUACUUCUCCUACUUCUUAAUCUAAAACCAAUUGGAUUAUUUUAAAAAUGCUUUACCACAAAGCUGAAAACAGAGGUGUUUUUCUUCAACUUGAUUGUUUUGGAGACACCUGGUUUCCACAGGACAGCAAUUUCAAGGUAAGUUGUUCAUCUCCAUGGUCUAUUGCAAAGUCUAAAUUACUCUGUGAUCCGGCUGACUGGGCUGAUUAAGAGGAUGAGUUUGUUUGACAGCCUGAAAGUCAGUGUACACACACAGAACUGCUUUCUUGAAACAUUUGAAUUUAAAAAGAUUAUUCAAAAAGAAAAAUAAAGCUUAAGGGCUUAUGUGCUUCCCUGUAGGAUCUUUUCUUUUCAAUUUUAUUUGUAUAGCACCAAAUCCCAACAGAAGUUAUCUGAGGACACUUUGAAUACAGAGCAGGUCUAGGCCGUACUCCUUAUAUAUAGAAAAAAAAUGUUCUCCCUAAGAUACACAACCCCCUCCACUUGGAAUAACUGCCCUCCCCUUCACCUGGUAUCUUUUUCUGUUUGGGUCUAUAGUCUUAGACAUGUAAUCAAAUGCAGCCAGACCUCAGAAGAACCUUGAUAUCCUGUCCAUGGAAAAUCUUUAAUAACAGGAGAGGUGACACCCAUGGCAGGUGGCCAACAUUGAACGUGCUUGACUUCACUUUUGACUUAAGCAAACCUAGCACUUGCUUUGAAUUUACAGGGAAUGGAAGACUUGAAACUGUAACCAACUCCCAAGAAUUCUCCAGAAUGAAACAAGCUUUUCCAAGUUCUUCAAAUACCCCUUGCAAACUCGUCUAGCAACUUCCCACAGUCUCUCUUUUAUCUCUACUGGAGGAAGACAAGUUAUUUAUAUUUGCACUACAUCCUCUUCAGACACUUCUUACGAACUUUUAAUAAGUGGUAGUGACACAAAUUAAAGUACAAAGAUAGUGAUUAGAGUCUGGAUUUGUGUUCAUCUCAGGUGGAAACUUUAGAUUAUCCUUCACUAAACUUUUAUUUUGUAGGGCUAUGAAUCCUGACCAUAUAGGCUAUGUGAAUGUCUUCAUGACAUCUAGGGAGCACAUGAUUGCUUUUAAACUUCAUUCUAAUCCUCCCCUUGAACACUGUAAUUAUAGAAGCUGUCUCAGUUGUUACAGAUGGGUGUGUUUGAUUUUCAUAUGUGUGGUAUUCAUGCAGUCUGCGUUCUCUCAAGAUAACAUUAGUAUCCUCGCAACACACCCACCAAUACCAAGAAACAUAAAAACAAAAAUGAUGAUGUGCGGGUUGCAUAAUGUUACGUUAAUGAUUGCUUCACUAGAACUUUUCUGCUUAGUUAAAUGGCUGCAGAUUGUCUCUGUUUCUCAUUAAAAAACACAACAGCAAAUUCAUGAUGAUGUGAAAUUGAUUGAAUUGAAUUUAUUUAUUAGAUUGAGACAAUUCAAUUUAAAAUAGUUCCAGUACAAAACAUGAAGCUGAUGUGCUGCACUAUUGCUUAUAUUCAGCUCUUGUCUCUUGUUGGGCCUUUUGGUAAGAUUUUGGUAAUCAAACUAGAGACGAUGACCUGUGUGAAAUCAUGAAUUAAGCUGUUAUUUCACUGUUUAAUAGCUGAGCAUAGGACACUUUGCAAAAUAAUAUAAGUAGCUCAAUUUUCUCAAAUAUCUCCUAUUUUGACGCUUUCAUCUUUUGGAGCCGACUGUUGCUUUCAGGCAAUUGUUUUGUGUCACACUCCUUUUUCUUUGUUGGUUAUUUUAUCAGCUGCAAAUACUUUUUAACUAACACAAACCAAAACUUUUCCUGGUGUAAUAAAGGUAUGAAUGUUACACUAAGAGGGUUUUCUUUUCCAUUAACAUAUUAUUGAAGGUGAUUCACAUCUGAUGAUUCAUUUUGUGAAACAGACUAUGGACAAUAAAGGUGUGGUAACUACAUGUUCAGGAAUUUCUGUUCCUGCAUGUGUGUUCCCGUAAAUGUUUUAUAUUUAUUUUCUGUGCUGAGCAAAACCAGAGUUAUUGUCUUUGUUAUUUUGCUCGCUCUUCGUCCUUCAACACAACACAAUGAUGAGGAGAGUAUAUGUCAUACAUCAUUCUGCACAGUAAAGAUCAAACAUCUAACUGUAGGAACCAGGCCAAGCCAGUGUUAGAUAAUAUGUUAUUAUAUUUGCUUAUUAUCACUGAUGCAUUGAAGUAUAUGCAGCAUUUUACUGUUGCUGCUAAUUUUUACUACUUUAUAUGCUGUUGGGUUGUUUAACUCUAGCAAUGCUUGUAUUUUAUAAACAAUACUCAGGUAAAGAGUAAAUACUUAAAGUACAGUACUUGAGUAAAUGUAUUAGAUUACAUUCCACCACUGGAAACUGACAAAAAUAUUAUUUAACUUAACGAAAUAGAGACAUAUUUCGUAACGUAAUACUGUCAAAAAAAGAGUAGCUAUAUUAGAAGGAGUAAUGUUGGAAUUAACAAUGAUGUUUACUUUGAUAUGCUAUCGAAAAUGUAAUGAAAUACUGAGCUGGAUUUUAUUUGUUUUCUGCACCUGUGUUUCACUCAGGCAUUAUGCUCCAGUCCACUUACCGCUACAAGGAAGUAAUAAAACAAAGUACAACAGCA